rnacentral:rRNA from 1 species
GAUGAACGCUGGCGGCGUGCCUAAUACAUGCAAGUCGAGCGAACAGACGAGGAGCUUGCUCCUCUGACGUUAGCGGCGGACGGGUGAGUAACACGUGGAUAACCUACCUAUAAGACUGGGAUAACUUCGGGAAACCGGAGCUAAUACCGGAUAAUAUAUUGAACCGCAUGGUUCAAUAGUGAAAGACGGUUUUGCUGUCACUUAUAGAUGGAUCCGCGCCGCAUUAGCUAGUUGGUAAGGUAACGGCUUACCAAGGCAACGAUGCGUAGCCGACCUGAGAGGGUGAUCGGCCACACUGGAACUGAGACACGGUCCAGACUCCUACGGGAGGCAGCAGUAGGGAAUCUUCCGCAAUGGGCGAAAGCCUGACGGAGCAACGCGGCGUGAGUGAUGAAGGUCUUCGGAUCGUAAAACGCUGUUAUUAGGGAAGAACAAAUGUGUAAGUAACUAUGCACGUCUGGACGGUACCUAAUCAGAAAGCCACGGCUAACUACGU